AGAGGUCCCAAGCGUUGUUCGGAUUCACUGGGCGUAAAGGGUGCGUAGGUGGCGGGGUAAGUCGGAUGUGAAAUCUCCGAGCUCAACUCGGAAAUGGCAUUGGAAACUGCUCUGCUUGAGGGUUGGAGGGGGGACUGGAAUACUUGGUGUAGCAGUGAAAUGCGUAGAUAUCAAGUGGAACACCAGUGGCGAAGGCGAGUCCCUGGACAACUCCUGACACUGAGGCACGAAAGCUAGGGGAGCAAACAGGAUUAGAUACCCUGGUAGUCCUAGCCGUAAACGGUGCACGUUUGCUGUAAAAGGAAUCGACCCCUUUUGUGGCGUAGCUAACGCGUUAAACGUGCCGCCUGGGAAGUACGGUCGCAAGAUUA
rnacentral:rRNA from 1 species